GACGAACGCUGGCGGCGUGCCUAAUACAUGCAAGUUGAGCGCUGAAGGUUGGUACUUGUCCCAACUGGAUGAGCAGCGAACGGGUGAGUAACGCGUGGGGAAUCUGCCUUUGAGCGGGGGACAACAUUUGGAAACGAAUGCUAAUACCGCAUAAAAACUUUAAACACAAGUUUUAAGUUUGAAAGAUGCAAUUGCAUCACUCAAAGAUGAUCCCGCGUUGUAUUAGCUAGUUGGUGAGGUAAAGGCUCACCAAGGCGAUGAUACAUAGCCGACCUGAGAGGGUGAUCGGCCACAUUGGGACUGAGACACGGCCCAAACGCCUACGGGAGGCAGCAGUAGGGAAUCUUCGGCAAUGGACGAAAGUCUGACCGAGCAACGCCGCGGGAGUGAAGAAGGUUGUCGGAUCGUAAAACUCUGUUGGUAGAGAAGAACGUUGGUGAGAGUGGAAAGCUCAUCAAGUGACGGUAACUACCCAGAAAGGGACGGCUAACUACGUG
rnacentral:rRNA from 1 species